rnacentral:rRNA from 1 species
AUACGUAGGGGGCGAGCGUUGUCCGGAAUGAUUGGGCGUAAAGGGCGCGUAGGCGGCCUGUUAAGUCUGGAGUGAAAGUCCUGUUUUCAAGAUGGGAAUUGCUUUGGAUACUGAUGGGCUUGAGUGCAGGAGAGGUUAUCGGAAUUCCCGGUGUAGCGGUGAAAUGCGUAGAGAUCGGGAGGAACACCAGUGGCGAAGGCGGGUAACUGGACUGCAACUGACGCUGAAGCGCGAAAGUGUGGGGAGCAAACAGGAUUAGAUACCCUGGUAGUCCACACUGUAAACGAUGAAUGCUAGGUGUAAGAGGUAUCGACCCCUUUUGUGCCGGAGUUAACACAAUAAGCAUUCCGCCUGGGGAGUACGGCCGCAAGGUUGAAACUUAAAUGAAUUGGCGGG